CUACGGGAGGCAGCAGUGAGGAAUAUUGGUCAAUGGUCGGGAGACUGAACCAGCCAAGCCGCGUGAGGGAGGAAGGUACAGAGUAUCGUAAACCUCUUUUGUCAGGGAACAAAGACUGGGACGCGUCCCCGGAUGAGUGUACCUGAAGAACAAGCAUCGGCUAACUCCGUUCCAGCAGCCGCGGUAAUACGGAGGAUGCGAGCGUUAUCCGGAUUGAGUGGGUGUAAAGGGUGCGCAGGCGUUCUGAUAAGUCAGUGGUGAAAGCCCGGGGGUUAACCCCCGGACGGCCGUUGAAACUGGCAGUCUUGAGUUGGGGAGAGGUAGGCGGAAUGCGCGGUGUAGCGGUGAAAUGCAUAGAUA
rnacentral:rRNA from 1 species